rnacentral:rRNA from 1 species
UACGUAGGGGGCAAGCGUUGUCCGGAAUCAUUGGGCGUAAAGCGCGUGUAGGCGGCCCGAUAAGUCCGCUGUGAAAGUCCAGGGCUCAACCCUGGGAUGCCGGUGGAUACUGUCGGGCUCGAGUCCGGAGGAGGAGUGUGGAAUUCCUGGUGUAGCGGUGAAAUGCGCAGAUAUCAGGAGGAACACCAAUGGCGAAGGCAGCACUCUGGGACGUGACUGACGCUGAGACGCGAAAGCGUGGGGAGCAAACAGG